GUGGGGAAUAUUGGACAAUGGGGGGAACCCUGAUCCAGCCAUGCCGCGUGUGUGAAGAAGGCCUUUUGGUUGUAAAGCACUUUAAGCGAGGAGGAGGCUACCGAGAUUAAUACUCUUGGAUAGUGGACGUUACUCGCAGAAUAAGCACCGGCUAACUCUGUGCCAGCAGCCGCGGUAAUACAGAGGGUGCAAGCGUUAAUCGGAUUUACUGGGCGUAAAGCGCGCGUAGGUGGCCAAUUAAGUCAAAUGUGAAAUCCCCGAGCUUAACUUGGGAAUUGCAUUCGAUACUGGUUGGCUAGAGUAUGGGAAAGGAUGGUAGAAUUCCAGGUGUAGCGGUGAAAUGCGUAGAGAUCUGGAGGAAUACCGAUGGCGAAGGCAGCCAUCUGGCCUAAUACUGACACUGAGGUGCGAAAGCAUGGGGAGCAAACAGGAUUAGAAACCCCAGUAGUCC
rnacentral:rRNA from 1 species